rnacentral:tRNA from 1 species
GGGGAUUUAGCUCAGCAGCAUAAGCGCGUGCUUGGUAAGCACGAGGUCAUGAGUUCAAUCCCCA